rnacentral:lncRNA from 1 species
GCCCCAUUUAACCUGUUUAAAACAGGUCAGCAACCAGACGCAGAAGCUUAAAGAUGUGGAUUUGUGGAUUUGCAUUUUGCAGCGCUGUCGUGCUUCCCCUAGAACCAAAGGGAGACACUAAACCUCUCUGCAAACUCUUUGUACGUUCCCAUCUGUGACUUCAUAAAUAUUUGAUGCAGUGGCCAGUCAACAUCCCUACAUUAGUGAAACUUCUGCCCAGGAGCAACUGCACAGCUCUCAGCGAUGAGAUCGGACCCAGGAGGCAAAUGCAGCAUGACUCACUCCCUCCGUUGCCCUUGGUUAAACAGCCGUGAAUAUCUAAAUAUCCUUCCAUGAUGUUGGCAGCAGGACAACCCACGAUUCUUCAUGACAUCUGAAUAAAAUCACCUUUUGUUUCCA